rnacentral:rRNA from 1 species
AUUGAACGCUGGCGGCAGGCCUAACACAUGCAAGUCGAACGAGUGGCGGACGGGUGAGUAAUGUCUGGGCAACUGCCUGAUGGAGGGGGAUAACUACUGGAAACGGUAGCUAAUACCGCAUACCAUCAGAUGUGCCCAUAUGGGAUUAGCUAGUCGGUGGGGUAAAGGCUCACCUAGGCGACGAUCCCUAGCUGGUCUGAGAGGAUGAUCAGCCACACUGGGACUGAGACACGGCCCAGACUCCUACGGGAGGCAGCAGUGGGGAAUAUUGCACAAUGGGCGCAAGCCUGAUGCAGCCAUGCCGCGUGUAUGAAGAAGGCCUUCGGGUUGUAAAGUACUUUCAGCGGGGAGGCGUUACCGGCAGAAGAAGCACCGGCUAACUCCGUGCCAGCAGCCGCGGUAAUUC